rnacentral:rRNA from 1 species
GACGAGGGAUCCUAGCGUUGUUCGGAAUCACUGGGCUUAAAGCGUGUGUAGGCGGGCCGUUAAGUGUCUUGUGAAAUCCCCCGGCUCAACCGGGGAAUUGCUGGGCAUACUGGCGGUCUUGAGCGAUCUAGGGGCAGAUGGAACAAGUGGUGGAGCGGUGAAAUGCGCAGAUAUCAGGAGGAACACCAAUAGCGAAGGCAGCUCGCUGGGACGUUACUGACACUGAGGCGCGAAAGCGUGGGGAGCGAACAGG